rnacentral:rRNA from 1 species
UACGAAGGGGGCUAGCGUUGCUCGGAAUCACUGGGCGUAAAGCGCACGUAGGCGGCUUUUUAAGUCAGGGGUGAAAUCCUGGAGCUCAACUCCAGAACUGCCUUUGAUACUGGGAAGCUUGAGUCCGGGAGAGGUGAGUGGAACUCCGAGUGUAGAGGUGAAAUUCGUAGAUAUUCGGAAGAACACCAGUGGCGAAGGCGGCUCACUGGCCCGGUACUGACGCUGAGGCACGAAAGCGUGGGGAGCAAACAGG